rnacentral:rRNA from 1 species
AGAGUUUGAUCCUGGCUCAGAACGAACGCUGGCGGCGUGGAUAAGACAUGCAAGUCGGACGCUGAUUAGAGGGUAGCAAUAUUCUCUAGUUGGAGUGGCGCAAGGGUGCGUAACACGUGGGCAAUCUGCCGUGAAGGUUGGGAUAACUCGCUGAAAGGCGAGCUAAUACCGGAUGUGAUUGUCAGGAGGCAUCUUCUGGCAAUGGAAGCUGGGGACCCACAAGGGCCUGGCACUUCAUGAUGAGCCCGCGGCCUAUCAGCUAGUUGGUGAGGUAACGGCCCACCAAGGCGAAGACGGGUAGCUGGUCUGAGAGGACGACCAGCCACACUGGAACUGAGACACGGUCCAGACACCUACGGGUGGCAGCAGUCGAGAAUUUUUCACAAUGGGCGCAAGCCUGAUGGAGCGACGCCGCGUGGGGGAUGAAGGGUUUCGAUCCGUAAACCCCUGUCAUUUGCGAACAAACCUUGAUUGUGAACAGCGAUCAAGCUGAUUGUAGCGGAAGAGGAAGGGACGGCUAACUCUGUGCCAGCAGCCGCGGUAAUACAGAGGUCCCAAGCGUUGUUCGGAUUCACUGGGCGUAAAGGGUGCGUAGGUGGCCGGUGAAGUUCGGUGUGAAAGCUCGGAGCUCAACUCCGAAAUGGCAUUGAAAACUCAUCGGCUGGAGGGUCGGAGGCGAGUGGAAUUACCAGUGUAGCGGUGAAAUGCGUAGAUACUGGUAGGAACACCUAUUGCGAAGGCAGCUCGCUGGACAGCACGUGACGCUGAGGUGCGAAAGUGUGGGGAGCAAACCGGAUUAGAUACCCGGGUAGUCCACACCCUAAACGAUGCAUACUUGGUGUUGGCCCGUUGGGGUCAGCGCCGGAGCUAACGUGUUAAGUAUGCCGCCUGGGAAGUACGGCCGCAAGGCUAAAACUCAAAGGAAUUGACGGGGACCCGCACAAGCGGUGGAGCAUGUGGUUUAAUUCGAAGCAACGCGAAGAACCUUACCAGGCCUUGACAUCCUGAGAACCCUCCCGAAAAGGAGGGGUGCCCUUCGGGGAGCUCAGUGACAGGUGCUGCAUGGCUGUCGUCAGCUCGUGUCGUGAGAUGUUCGGUUAAGUCCGGCAACGAGCGCAACCCUCGCCAUUAGUUGCUAGCAAUUCGGUUGAGCACUCUAAUGGGACCGCCUACGAAAGUAGGAGGAAGGCGGGGAUGACGUCUGGUCAGCAUGGUCCUUACGGCCUGGGCGACACACGUGCUACAAUGGCCGGUACAACGCGCAGCCACCUCGCGAGAGGGAGCUAAUCGUCAAAGCCGGUCCCAGUUCGGAUUGCAGUCUGCAACUCGACUGCAUGAAGUUGGAAUCGCUAGUAAUCGCGGAUCAGCCAUGCCGCGGUGAAUACGUUCCCGGGUCUUGUACACACCGCCCGUCAAACCAUGGGAGUAGGUUGCACCCGAAGACACGUAGUCUCGUCAAUGGGACGCGUGUUUAAGGUGUGGCUUAUGACUGGGGUUAAGUCGUAACAAGGUA